UGUGGGUCUGAUCGUGCAUUGUUCUUUGAGUUUUCUGGUUUGACUGUAUAUCUCUUGUAGUCUUCCUGAUGACUGUUGGUGACUCGCUGCUGCUCUGCUCAACCAGCUCCUGUGCUGUGGGACCAUGCUCUUGCAGGCAGAGGACUUCUCCUGAUGAGAGGCUGGAGAGAGCUGGGGCACGUACAAGGUGUGGCUGAAGCCUGUUUCUGCUGACUAGCAACUGCUUUGGGUUACCAUUAACUCACUGCCAUGUUGGACACUUGUACAUCAGUUCAUGGGAGUGCUUUCUCAAGUUGGAAGAAAUCUUUGCAUCCAUUGGAAACUGCUUAUGACUUUAAUGCUGUCAUAAAGAACGUACAUAUUAGGAAAAAAAAGAAUCACAGAUACUGCUGUUCAAUCUCAUCUUAAACCCUACAUGAAACCCAAUAACUACUGUCGUGUGAAGAGACAUCUGCAUUGUUUGCGUGGGCUUCGCAGUCUCUUACUCAGGCUUUCCUUUCAUGACAUUUAGGAGGAAAGGAGGAAAGGAAACUGCUGUUGAAUAUGAGAUGCCUGGGAUUUCUGUUUUAUUAUACUUUUUAAAUAUUUGAACUCUGCUUCAGGACGGAACAAAUUAGAGUUGAAACUGCAGGGUGGACGGAACCUAAUUAUUUCUGCCCAAAUUCCUUUCUUCAAUAGAGGUAGUAUCGUCCAAAAAAAGCAAAAUAGAAUGAAUAGCUGAAGCCCUAUAUAGAGCUAAUAGUCCUGUAUCAAGGUUGUUCAGAUAGGCUGCUUUGCUAUGUUUUGUUUCUUUUUCUUCCUUUUUUUUUUAUUCCCAGUCCCCUAGCCCUUCUGCCUCCUUUUGUUAUUCAGUAUGUGUUUGUCACAGACUGUCUCUUGUUUAGAAACAAAUGCAUUCAGACAUCUUUGGUACUUACAAAAGCAUAGUCUCAUAUUAUGGCAAUCAUUAACAUAACAGUAACACACAAGAGUUGUUCCAGCAUAUUGAAAAACCUGUGAAGCUUUCAGUGCACUCAGUGACUGUAUGAGAUAGCAAUGAAAGGCAAAUAUCUACCUAAAUGUGAAUUUCCACCUCACUGUAACAUCUAAAUGGAAUUACAUCCCGCGUUGUUGAGAAGAUUCAUUAAAGGGACAUAGAAUCUUAAGACUGAGUACCGUCUUGUUUUGUAGUGGGAAGCUAUGUGGGAUACUGCAACCUUUACAUAUUUAAAAUAUCAUUAUUGUAACGUAGAGUGAAUCAGCCCUGCACUAUUUAUGUUUAUGGUGUAAUAAAUACAGUGUGCCAAGAAACUAUCUUGGAAGAGGCUGUAGUAAGGGAAAGCAGAUCUUUAUUAAUUGCACUAGUAGCAUUAGAGGAACUCAUUUUAUAGUUCUUUAUGUAGUACACAAGAAAUCAGGAAAUAAAAGAUCUCCACGUUUUACUUUAGCUUUCUGCCUUCUCAGUUGAUAUUUUUGAAGAGACCAAAUAGCACUUAACAAGACCCUUUUUCCCUUCCUAGCAUCAUCUCCAGUAAGGUCCCUACUCAGCUGACUCUCUGUGGCACUCAGCAACAUAUAAUCAAUAAUGAUCUUUUCAGUUGGUUGUGUGCCCUAUGCAAGUCUAUUAAUGUUGUUGCAAAAGCAUUUGAGGUAUAUUUUAAGUGGCUAUCUUCUAUUUCUGUGUUCUUAGGUGUCCUGCUCUCCCAUAUAAUUUGCACUACCGUGCUGCCGUAGCCCAAUGAUAGCUAGCAGACCUGUAGAAAAUAAUAUGAAUUGUUUAACUUGUCAAACAAACUAGGCUUUCAUGGCCAGCAUGAUGUGUAUAUGUAACUGUAUAAAACUGUGGAUUUAUCUGUAUUUUGAGCAAAAAUGCACUAACUCACCAUAGAUAUGGAAUUAGACGUAGCAGUUUGUUCACGAAGGCACUACUACUGCACUAAGUUAUAAUGUUCAGUUGUAUUGCUUGUAAGUUCAUUUUAUUUUGAAUAAUAAA